AAUCGAGGACCGAGGCAAGGACACCAUGCUGCGGCGUCUCCCACUGACACCCAUGACCUGUCCAGGCAGAUUUCUGCGGCGGGAUCUGGAAGAGUGGUGCCUGACGUGCUAAACCCACCUUUCCACCAGAGGGCAGGUGUGUCAUA
rnacentral:lncRNA from 1 species